rnacentral:rRNA from 1 species
UACGUAGGGGGCAAGCGUUGUCCGGAUUUAUUGGGCGUAAAGAGCUCGUAGGCGGUUUCGUAAGUCGGAUGUGAAAACUCCAGGCUCAACCUGGAGACGCCAUUCGAUACUGCGAUGACUUGAGUCCGGUAGGGGAGUGUGGAAUUCCUGGUGUAGCAGUGAAAUGCGUAGAUAUCAGGAGGAACACCGAUGGCGAAGGCAGGUCUCUGGGCUGACACUGACGCUCAUGCACGAAAGCGUGGGGAGCAAACAGG